rfam:Eucalyptus grandis cultivar BRASTZ1 unplaced genomic scaffold scaffold_9, whole genome shotgun sequence.
AAGAUUAGAGACUUUCUGACUAGCCAAGGAGACUGCCUGAUACCGAGACGAACUACUCGAACACUUAGCUCGAAUAGAGCAAGUUCGGAGCAGGCAAGUCAUCCUUGGCUACCAACUGAGACUCUUAUCU